rnacentral:rRNA from 1 species
AUUGAACGCUGGCGGCGUGCUUAACACAUGCAAGUCGAUCGGUAACAGGUGUAGCAAUACAUGCUGACGAGAGGCGGACGGGUGAGUAAUGCUUGGGAAUCUGCCUAUUAGUGGGGGACAACCCGGGGAAACUCGGGCUAAUACCGCAUACGCUCUACGGAGGAAAGCCGGGGACCGCAAGGCCUGGCGCUAAUAGAUGAGCCCAAGUCGGAUUAGCUAGUUGGUAGGGUAACGGCCUACCAAGGCGACAAUCCGUAGCUGGUCUGAGAGGACGACCAGCCACACCGGAACUGAGACACGGUCCGGACUCCUACGGGAGGCAGCAGUGGGGAAUAUUGGACAAUGGGGGCAACCCUGAUCCAGCGACGCCGCGUGGGUGAAGAAGGCCUGCGGGUUGUAAAGCCCUUUCGGUGGGGAAGAAAAGUCUCGACCUAAUACGUCGGGACCUUGACGUAACCCACUAAAGAAGCACCGGCUAACUCUGUGCCAGCAGCCGCCGUAAC